rnacentral:rRNA from 1 species
UCGAAAGGAAUUGACGGGGAGCACCACAACGGGUGGAGCUUGCGGUUUAAUUGGAUUCAACGCCGGAAAUCUUACCGGGACCGACAGCAAUAUGAAGGCCAGGCUGAAGACUUUGCCGGAUUAGCUGAGAGGUGGUGCAUGGCCGUCGUCAGUUCGUACUGUGAAGCAUCCUGUUAAGUCAGGCAACGAGCGAGACCCACGCCCACAGUUGCCAGCGUACUCUCUGGAGUGACGGGUACACUGUGGGACCGCCGCUGCUAAAGCGGAGGAAGGAAUGGGCAACGGUAGGUCAGUAUGCCCCGAAUAUCCCGGGCUACACGCGAGCUACAAUGGUUGGUACAAUGGGUAUCUACCCCGAAAGGGGACGGGAAUCUCCUAAAACCAAUCUUAGUUCGGAUUGAGGGCUGCAACUCGCCCUCAUGAAGCUGGAAUCCGUAGUAAUCGCGUUUCAACAGAACGCGGUGAAUACGUCCCUGCUCCUU